UUUGGAUGCUAACCGGGGUAAGAACAUAAGAACAUAAGAAAUAAGGGAAGCUGCAAGAAGCGACCAGGCUUACACGUGGCAGUCCCUGUAUGAAACACUCCUACCUAUUUCCAUCUGUUAUCCCCAUCCAUAAACUUGUCUAAUCUUCUCUUAAAGCUCUCUAGUGUCCUAGCACUAACAACAUGAUUACUGAGUCCGUUCCACUCAUCUACCACUCUAUUUGAGAACCAAUUUUUUCCUAUCUCCUUCCUAAACCUAAAUUUUUCAAGCUUGAACCCGUUAUUUCUUGUUCUACCCUGGUUGCUGAUCCUAAGAAUUUUGCUUACAUCUCCCUUGUUAUAACCCUUAUACCACUUAAAGACUUCUAUCAGAUCCCCUCUUAACCUACGUCUCUCUAGAGAAUGUAAAUUUAACCGCUUCAACCUCGCUUCGUAAGGAAUACUCCUCAUCCCCUGUAUCCUUUUAGUCAUUCUCCUCUGUACUGAUUCUAAUAGACCUAUAUCUUUCCUGUAAUGUGGGGACCAGAACUGCACAGCGUAAACUCAAUCAUCUUCCAAGACUGAAUAACAUUAUGCUUGUGGCGCUUCCUGGCUUUCCACUUUCCCUUACAUAUCCAGUCACGCGGCAAUUUCAAAAUACACGUUAGAAUAUUUUCGCGAACGGUGAGUUUAUUUGACGGUUUAAAAUUGUUUGGAUUUGUCACACACGUGACUACUCUACCACGGAACCAGGUGCCUGCCUCUCAACUCGUGGCGCUGCCACGUGUAUAGCUUGAGGCAUACUGGAUACGUGACCUCUAGCAGGCUACCAAGCCGAUAACGAGGGGUGGAGUUCCAUCGAGCUUCAGUCUCCUCCAAGGGUCGCUACAGCUCUGAGUUCGCCUUAGCAUACGCUGGGAGCCUCAUAUACACUCGAGAGCGGUGCCAAGCUUUCAACGUGCAAGAGAAAUGCCGUGUCUUCUCACGUCCCUCUACCCAACAACUGUCGCCCCGGGGACGCACAGAGGGACAAGUGUUCUGAGUGGAGCAUUGGCGCGAACGUGACUGACGCUGCCAUCAAUUUCCCCCUGCAAGCUGUGAGUUAUCCCGCACUCUACGCGCCAGUAAUGAAAAAUAAGGAGGCUGUGGCGUCCAAGUUGGUGGGAGAUGCAUCGCGCCAUCAUAUGCACACACUGACACGGCACGAGCAAGGGGAACGUGUGUGUACAUGCUGCUUCGUGUUUCAUACAUACAGAUGAGGGGCGCUGCACUAAGGGGACGUGACUGGAUGAGCGCGGGUAGGGUGGCCAUGAAUGCGGUGGAAUGGCGGCCCUGAUGGUGGUCAUCCACCCAUUAAGUGUUCCCCGCCCCUCAACUAAGAGA